CUGAUCCCGAUAAAAAAAUUCCAUAUGCUUUUACCUGACACAGGUUUUUAAACUCAUUGAAUUGGCAUCCCUGUUCAUGAAUUAUAAAGUAUACUAUUUAGAUGCUACGAAACAAAUGUUUGAGUUAGUGUCAUCAUACUUUUUUCAGUUCAUUGUGAUAUUCCAUUACAUUCAUUUGGCUUGGGUCGACGUCAGGAAAUAUUCAAUUAAGAUGCCGAAGAAAAGACAAAUUAAUAAAAACAAGGUGAAAAAAGGUUCGGUUCAAGAAAGUUUAGAAAAUGGCGUCUUACAAAACAGGAAACGCAGUAAAAGGGUUGCUGAUCAACUAAACAAAAGCGAUUUGCAGGAUGAGUUACAACAACUCCUACAACAAUCUGGUGUUCAGAUGGGACCAUCCGGAUUAGCAUUUGUGUCGGUUAUGCCCACAACCAGUCGGCUUGGGGAUAUUGCUAUCCAGGAUCCGCAUGUUACGCAUGACAGAGACGGAUGAUGCCAAAUGCUCGUCAGACAAUGCGUCAUGCUCUGCGUCUUUCAAAAGAACUUGUCGCAAUAAAGGAUGGACAAAAAAUUCCACAGGCUAAAUUCACUCAAACUGAUGGCAUUCCUAUAACCGUUCAAGAAUUGGUUGAUCUGAACAACCGUGCUACUACAGAUAGUAUGUUUGUAGGUUUGUUGGCUCUGCAUUUAAUUAAAAAAGAUAAAUUGAUAACGAUGAUUGUUACGAGACAACAAUCCCAUCGUUUUAUGAAUUUGAAAAAGCCAGAUGGAUCACCUCUCUAUCCAGCAGGGACGAAGACGGACCCGAACAUAUUUGAAUUUAUUUGCAACAAAGUUGCAGAACGUACAGCAAUUAGUGUCGGCCAGGAUAAUAUAAUAUUGAUUCGUAAGCGUUGGGAGGAAAAAAUCAUAAGAAGAUACCUGGCGCAGAAAAUUGCAAAUCUUAAGAAGACCGUUAUAUUGAAAACUUCUGGAACGAAGAAAAAUAACUGAACAUACACUAAGGGCGAAAUAUUAUAACCGACCAGUGAGAUUUGUUAUAGUAUAAGUUAAUGUAUGUACGAAUUAAACUAA